UACGGGGGGUGCAAGCGUUGCUCGGAAUCACUGGGCGUAAAGCGUCCGCAGGCGGACUUGUGUGUCGGUCGUGAAAUCCCAGGGCUCAACCCUGGAACUGCGAUCGAAACUGCAAGUCUCGAGUACGGGAGAGGAAAGCGGAAUUCCUGGUGUAGAGGUGAAAUUCGUAGAUAUCAGGAGGAACACCGGUGGCGAAAGCGGCUUUCUGGCCCGAUACUGACGCUCAUGGACGAAAGCGUGGGGAGCAAACAGG
rnacentral:rRNA from 1 species